GAUGAACGCUGGCGGCGUGCCUAAUACAUGCAAGUCGAGCGAACAGACGAGGCGCUUGCUCCUCUGACGUUAGCGGCGGACGGGUGUGUCACACGUGGAUCACCUCCCUAUAAGACUGGGAUAACUUCGGGAAACCGGAGCUAAUACCGGAUAAUCUAUUGAUCCGCAUGGGUCAAUAGUGAAAGACGGUUUUGCGGGCACUUAUCGAUGGAUCCCCGCGGCAGUAGCGAGUUGGUAGGGUAACGGGCUACCAAGGCAGGUAGGCGUAACCGAGCUGACAGGGUGAUAGGCCACAUGGGAACGGGACCGCGGUCCAGACUACUAAGAGAGGCAGCAGUAGGGAAUGGGCCGCAAUGGGCGAAAGCCUGACGGAGCAAGGCCGAGUGAGUGAUGAAGGUCUUCGGAUCGUAAAACUGGGUUAUGAGGGAAAAACAAAUGUGGAAGGAACUAUGCACGUCGUGACGGUACCUAAUCAGAAAGCAACGGCUAACUACGUG
rnacentral:rRNA from 1 species